UUAACGAUUGUUAUAAACAUGAUUCAGACGGAAGGCAAAAUAAAUGCAAAUUAUUUGAAAAUUACCUUCCGUGGGCAUUGGCCGACCGACCAACUGAAGCCGAAAUCAUACACUCCAACCAACCAACUGGCUAGAGGCAUCAAGUACAGCCUCACCCCACGAAAGCAACAGGACAGGUACACAGAUUGGGUUACAAUUGGAAACAAUGCACGGCAAUGGCCGCCGAUAUCCAAGUUGCCUUGCAAAGAUAUUCGACCAACCUGCCAGCGGAAACAACCAGGUUGAAUAUGGCUAUUGGGAAGGCCCGCACCCCACUAAAACGGCCAUGGACUGGCACACAGCAAUGGUCAGAAACCGUGCAUUGCAUUGUAAUUUAAUGAUCCUUCCGCAGGUUCACCUACGGAAA
rnacentral:misc_RNA from 1 species